rnacentral:rRNA from 1 species
UACUAGAGUAGCACUCGCAUAUCAAUAAGCGGAGGAAAAGAAACUAACAAGGAUUCCCCUAGUAACGGCGAGUGAAGCGGGAAGAGCUCAAAUUUGAAAUCUUAAAGGGUUUCCCUUUACGAAUUGUAGUUUAAAGAAGUGUUUUCUGUUGAGGUUUUGGUAAAAGUUCUUUGGAAUAGGACAUCAUAGAGGGUGAGAAUCCCGUAUUUGACCUUUACUUUCAACUUUGUGAUACACUUUCAAAGAGUCGGAUUGUUUGGGAAUGCAGUCCAAAAUGGGUGGUAAAUUUCAUCUAAAGCUAAAUAUUGGCGAGAGGACCGAUAGCGAACAAGUACCGUGAGGGAAAGAUGAAAAGAACUUUGAAAAGAGAGUUAAACAGUACGUGAAAUUGUCAAAAGGGAAGCGUUUGACACCAGUGUUGUUUUUCUGAAAAUCAAUUAAAGAACUGUUUAUGCUAAGUUGUUUAGACUUUAUCAGCUAUCUGUUUAGUUUUGAGCUUUUCUUUAAUGCACUUUUCAGUUAACAAGUCAACAUCAAUUUCUUUUGCUGUAAAAAAGCUUGAGGAAGGUGGCUUGAGAUUCGUCUUAAGUGUUUAUAGCCUCUUGCCUAUGCAGUCGGAGAGAUUGAGGUCUGCAGCGUAGAUCCUUCGGGGCUAAAUGCAUUUGUGCUAAGUUAUAGCAUUUUAUAGACAACUUGUUGACUAUGAUUUGUCUUGUAGCUUACUCGCUUAUGUUAUUUUACCUACGCUUAGGAUGUUGAACUACUGAGACAUAGA